rnacentral:rRNA from 1 species
UGGAGGAAAGCAGGGGAUCGCAAGACCUUGCGCUUUUGGAGCGGCCGAUGUCUGAUUAGCUAGUUGGUAGGGUAAAGGCUUACCAAGGCAACGAUCAGUAGUUGGUUUGAGAGGACGACCAGCCACACUGGGACUGAGACACGGCCCAGACUCCUACGGGAGGCAGCAGUGGGGAAUUUUGGACAAUGGGCGAAAGCCUGAUCCAGCCGUGCCGCGUGAGUGAAGAAGGCCUUCGGGUUGUAAAGCUCUUUCAGUCGAGAAGAGAAGGUUGCGACUAAUAAUCGCAACUUAUGACGGUAUCGACAGAAGAAGCACCGGCUAACUACGUGUCAGCAGCCGCGGUAAUACGUAGGGUGCGAGCGUUAAUCGGAAUUACUGGGCGUAAAGGGUGCGCAGGCGGCUCUGUAAGUCAGAUGUGA